GAUGAACGCUGGCGGCGUGCCUAAUACAUGCAAGUCGAGCGAACAGACGCUGAUCUUGCUCCUCUGUCGUUUGCGGCGGACGGGUGUGUAACACGUGUAUACCCUCCUUAUCAUUCUGGUAUCACUUCGGGAAUCCGGCGCUAAUACCGUAUAAUAUAUUGAACCGUAUUGUUCAUUAGUGAAAUUCGGCUUUUCUGUCACUUCUCGAUGCAUCCGCGCCGUAUUAGCUAGUUGUUAAGGUAACGGCUUACCAAGGCGACGAUGCGUAGACGACCUGAGAGAGUGAUAGGCCACACGAGAGGGGAGACACGGACAAGAGUACUAAGGGAGGGAGCAGUAGGGAAUCUUACGCAAUGGGCGAAAGCAUGACGGAGCAAGGCCGCGUGAGUGAUGAAGGUCUUGGGAUCGUAAAGAUGGGUUAUGAGGGAAGAACAAAUGUGUAAGUAAAUAUGGACGUCUUGACGGUAACGAAUAAGAAAGCAACGGCUAACUACGUG
rnacentral:rRNA from 1 species